rnacentral:rRNA from 1 species
UGAGGAAUAUUGGGCAAUGGAGGCAACUCUGACCCAGCCAUGCCGCGUGAAGGAUGAAGGUCCUCUGGAUUGUAAACUUCUUUUGUAUGGGGAUAAACUUUUCUACGUGUAGGAAACUGAAGGUACCAUACGAAUAAGGAUCGGCUAACUCCGUGCCAGCAGCCGCGGUAAUACGGAGGAUCCAAGCGUUAUCCGGAUUUAUUGGGUUUAAAGGGUCCGUAGGCGGGUCUUUAAGUCAGUGGUGAAAGCCUGCAGCUUAACUGUGGAAAUGCCAUUGAUACUGGAGGCCUUGAGUGUAGUAGAAGUAGGCGGAAUAGGGCAUGUAGCGGUGAAAUGCAUAGAUAUGCCCUAGAACACCGAUUGCGAAGGCAGCUUACUAUGUUACAACUGACGCUGAGGG